CUUACACACUGAACCUUCAAAGUCCAGGAGUUUAUAACUGAAAUAAAAUGAAUCACUUUAUCAUUGAGGUGAAAAGGUACCACAUGCACAUUUAACGAAGUUACGAAUUGCAAAAUUACACAAUAUCUCUCAUUUAGCUAUCAGCUUUUGAGUAAAAAGUUGAGCUUGUUUAAGGCGUGUGCUAAUUAAUAGUCAAGACAAUAAAAUGAAUACAACUUUCAAAAAUACAUCUUUUAAUGCUCGUUUGAUUAUGAAGUUAGGGCACAUCUGUAAAGUGAACAUUUGCUAUUCUCAACGCCAUUAACAAUUAAGUGACCAAGGGAAACUGUGUAGAAAACGUUACAGCUCAUGACGCGAAGUAACAUAUUGUGGAGCUAGCUUGCUUAGUAGCUUACGGAGACGAGUCUUCAUCGUCCACAGAGCUACAAUGUUACGUGCCUCUUCUUCAGAUGCUCCGGUGUUGAGAUGUUACAGUUCACAGCCUUUUUGACUGAGUGAAGAGAAAAAUGCUCCCACACUGGAGGUUUUAGGUUGUGAAGGUGCUAUACCAGAGCUGAUGUUGUGUUGUUUUAGUAACGUUACUGUUCACUGUUUACUGUUCCUCUUCAUUUGUCCUCUCCAUCGUUGAAACUAAACCAGAGUUCUCACAUUUCAGGAAAAUUUAAAAUUGUACAACUUUAAACUUUUAAAACUUUUUCAGGUUGAGUGGCUGUAACCUCUCAGAGAGAGGCUGUAAAGCUCUGUCCUCAGUUCUCAGCAUGAAGUCUUCUAUUCUGAGAGAGCUGGACCUGUGCAACAACAACCUGCAGGAUUCGGGAGUGAAGCUGCUGUCUGCUGGACUCCAGAGUCCACGCUGUACACUGGAAACUCUCAGUAGGUGGCGGGAUGCACCUGAACAAGUUGGUUGCGACCCGCUAUAAAACCCAGAGAAGAAGAAGAAGAAGAUAGAAGAAGAACUAAGAUGUGAAUAGAAUAACGAGCAGUGGAGGGCAGCAACACGCCAUAGAUGAAUUCACAAGAAGAUCAACUGGCCCCCUUCCUGUUUUCAGCGUUUUCCGUGACAAAGUGUUCAAAGUUCAAAGUGUGACUCAAUGGUCGUUUCCUCACACUAGUGAUGGCGAGACGAAGCUUCAUGAAGCAUUGAAGCUUUCCAUUGAAUUGGUUCACUCAUGGGCCGAAGCUUCAUGAAGCAUUGAAGCUUUCCAUUGAAUUGGUUCACUCAUGGGCCGAAGCUUCAUGAAGCAUUGAAGCUUUCCAUUGAAUUGGUUCACUCAUGGGCCGAAGCUUCAUGGUGCUUCAUUUGCUCUAGUGUGCCAUCAAGUGGACAAUACAUGUAAAACAGUUAAAGUGAUUAUAAUGGCAUCAUGGCUUUGGUUUGUAAAGCUUUGAAUUGAAUAAAUUAAUGAAUGAUGUUUGUGAUGCCGAUACAUAAAUGAUUAACUUACUAAUAAGGUGUCUGUCUGUAUGAUACAAUGACAGGGUCAAAAGGGAAAGUGGAAACAAGGGAGAGGGUUAUGAUGUGAAUGUGCUUGUGUUACUUGGUUUAUGACUUUAGAUAAUACAGACAUUUCAUUCAUUUUUAUUUAAAAUAACUUUUCCACAGUGCUUAGC